GGUUAAGCGACUAAGCGUACACGGUGGAUGCCCUGGCAGUCAGAGGCGAUGAAGGACGUGCUAAUCUGCGAAAAGCGUCGGUAAGGUGAUAUGAACCGUUAUAACCGGCGAUGUCCGAAUGGGGAAACCCAGUGCAAUUCGUUGCACUAUCGUUAACUGAAUACAUAGGUUAACGAGGCGAACCGGGGGAACUGAAACAUCUAAGUACCCCGAGGAAAAGAAAUCAACCGAGAUUCCCCCAGUAGCGGCGAGCGAACGGGGAGCAGCCCAGAGUCUGAAUCAGCUUGUGUGUUAGUGGAACGGUCUGGAAAGUCCGACGGUACAGGGUGAUAGUCCCGUACACCAAAAUGCACAGGUUGUGAACUCGAAGAGUAGGGCGGGACACGUGGUAUCCUGUCUGAAUAUGGGGGGACCAUCCUCCAAGGCUAAAUACUCCUGACUGACCGAUAGUGAACCAGUACCGUGAGGGAAAGGCGAAAAGAACCCCGGCGAGGGGAGUGAAAAAGAACCUGAAACCGUGUACGUACAAGCAGUGGGAGCACCUUCGGGUGUGACUGCGUACCUUUUGUAUAAUGGGUCAGCGACUUAUAUUCUGUAGCAAGGUUAACCGUAUAGGGGAGCCGCAGGGAAACCGAGUCUUAACUGGGCGUUAAGUUGCAGGGUAUAGACCCGAAACCCGGUGAUCUAGCCAUGGGCAGGUUGAAGGUUGGGUAACACUAACUGGAGGACCGAACCGACUAAUGUUGAAAAAUUAGCGGAUGACUUGUGGCUGGGGGUGAAAGGCCAAUCAAACCGGGAGAUAGCUGGUUCUCCCCGAAAGCUAUUUAGGUAGCGCCUCGUGAACUCAUCUUCGGGGGUAGAGCACUGUUUCGGCUAGGGGGUCAUCCCGACUUACCAACCCGAUGCAAACUACGAAUACCGAAGAAUGUUAUCACGGGAGACACACGGCGGGUGCUAACGUCCGUCGUGAAGAGGGAAACAACCCAGA
rnacentral:rRNA from 1 species